CUCGCGCGCUGACGGAACGACGCUGCCCGAUUCCGGCGCGCAGGCGCUGGUUUAGCCGUUGCCGGCGGCUCGGCUGCGUGUUAUUUUGUGUUCGUCGCCGGCGUUUGCGUCGUGUCAGUUCCCGCUGAUUGCCUGGGUCUCUCUCUCCGCAGCGAGCCAUGUCCUCUCCCAGGAGCGCCUCCCCGCAGCAGCACGACGGGGCCGCAGGGUACGGCUCUGCCUUCGCGUCUGCACGCUCGGCCGCUUCCUCCUCCGCGUCGGACCGCGGCAAGACUUUGGCGGAUGCCCGCGUCUCCGAGGAAUUGGAGAUCGCGUUGGACCUGGCGCUGGAGCGGUUCUUGUACAGCGAUGAUCAAGAGAUGGCGUUUCCUUCGUCUUUUACUUCUACCGAAAGAGCCUAUGUUCACCGGUUGUGCCAGUCUCUUGGUUUGAUAUCUAAAAGUAAAGGAAAAGGAUCGAGUCGAUAUCUAACUGUCAGGAAAAAGAAUGGAUCGCAAGUAGCUCAUGCAGAAAUGACUUGUUGUUUGACUCCCAGAACGAAACAGGCUGUUCACAGUUUAAUUCAAAGAUUUCCUCUCACAAAGAAAGAACGAAUAGAACUUCUGCCAAAGAAGCAGCGAGGAAAUGCAUUUGCUGUUGAAACUGAAAACAAAGAAGUUGGGAAGACGAGCGGAAGGCUUAGCAGUGGUAUUCCUCAAGUCCCGCUGAAAAGAGGGGAGUCGGAAUAUGACUCCUUUAGGCAGUCAUUGCCAGUUUUUGACAAGAAGGAGGAAAUUGUCAAAAUAAUAAAGGAAAAUAAAGUUGUUCUCAUUGUAGGAGAGACUGGAUCAGGAAAAACUACUCAAAUUCCUCAGUUCCUUCUUGAUGACUGCUACGAAAAUGGAAUUCCCUGUCGUAUGUUUUGCACUCAGCCAAGACGUUUGGCAGUUAUUGCUGUGGCUGAAAGAGUGGCAGCAGAAAGAAGGGAAAAGGUUGGCCAGACAGUUGGCUAUCAGAUCCGAUUAGAAAGCAGGGUUUCUCCAAGGACACUGUUAACGUUUUGCACAAACGGCAUACUGCUUCGCACGCUGAUGGCAGGAGACAGUGCUCUAUCAACAGUAACACAUGUUAUUGUGGAUGAAGUAUACGAGAGGGAUAGAUUCAGUGAUUUCUUGUUAAUAAAACUGCGAGAUAUAUUGCAAAACCAGACUAAUUUAAAACUAAUCAUUUCUAGUGCUGCUCUAGAUGCAAAUCUCUUUAUUGAGUAUUUUGGAAGUUGCCCAGUAAUACACAUCCAAGGAAGACCAUUUGAAGUUAAAGAGAUGUUUUUGGAGGACAUUUUACGAAGCACUGGGUACACAAACAAAGAGAUGAUAAAAUACAGAAAGGAGAAGCAGCGAGAAGAGAAGCAGCAAAGCACUCUCACUGAGUGGUGUUCUGCUCAAGAAAGUAAUAGCAACCCAGAAUCACGGAGCAGAAGAUCUGUUGCAAGUGUAUCUGAAGAGUAUAAUCUGCUGGACAGCAGUGGUGACACAGUUUUUAAUGCUCUGGUUGAGAGAGAUGCAAGUUGUCUUGAACCAUGGCUAAUAAAAGAAAUGGAUUCUUGUCUUUCUGACAUCUGGUUACAUAAAGAUGUUGAUUCCUUUGCUCAGGUGUUCCAUUUCAUCUUAACCGAAAACGUCAGUGUUGAUUAUAGGCACAGUGAAACCAGUGCAACUGCACUAAUGAUAGCUGCAGGGAGAGGCUUUCUAAGUCAAGUAGAGCAAUUGAUCAGUAUGGGAGCAAGUGUCCACUGCAAAUCAUCCAAUGGCUGGAUGGCUUUAGAUUGGGCUAAGCACUUUGGACAAACAGAGGUGGUUGACCUGUUGGAAUCUUACAGUGCUUCAAUGGAAUUUGGAAAUCUGGAUGAAAGUUCUCUGGUCCAAGCAAAUGGUAAUGACCUUGGAACAGAGGACAGAGAGUUGUUGAAAGCUUAUCAUCACAGUUUUAAUGAUGAGAAGGUGGAUUUCGACCUGAUCAUGCACUUACUUUACAACAUCUGCAAUAGUUCUGAUGGGGGAGCAGUUUUAAUAUUUCUUCCUGGGUACGAUGAGAUAGUUAGCUUGAGAGACCGAAUUAUUUUUGAUGACAAGAGAUUUGUUGAUAAUGCGCACAGAUACCAAGUAUUCACACUUCAUUCAAAUAUGCAAACUUUGGAUCAGAAGAAUGUGCUUAAAACUCCGCCUUCUGGCAUCCGCAAAAUAAUUCUUUCUACUAAUGUUGCAGAAACCAGUAUCACAGUCAGUGAUGUUGUAUUUGUUAUUGAUUCGGGAAAGAUGAAGGAGAAGUCUUUUGAUGCUCUGAGUUGUGUUACAAUGUUAAGAACUGUGUGGAUUUCAAAAGCCAGCGCUAUCCAGAGAAGAGGGAGAGCUGGGCGCUGUCGGCCUGGAGUCUGCUUCCAUCUCUUCAGCAAGCUCCGAUUUCAGAAUAUGUUGGAAUUUCAGACUCCGGAACUUCGAAGAAUGCCGCUUCAGGAGCUUUGUCUACACACAAAACUACUGGCUCCAGUGAAUUGCCCAGUUGUUGACUUUCUCAUGAAAGCUCCUGAUCCUCCACCAGCUUUAAUUGUGAGGAACGCCAUACAAAUGCUCAAGAAAAUAGAUGCCAUGGAUGUUUGGGAAGACCUCACUGAACUUGGUUAUCAUCUUGCCGAAUUACCUGUAGAGCCACACCUUGGUAAAAUGGUGCUGUGUGCUGUUGUUUUGAAGUGCCUGGAUCCCAUUCUCACCAUUGCUUGCACUCUUGCGUAUCGAGAGCCUUUUGUUCUACCUAUGGUGGCCUCUCAAAAGCGUGCAGCUAUGCUGUGCAGAAAACGUUUAGCUGCAGGAACAUUCAGUGACCAUAUGGUGCUCCUCAGGGCUUUCCAGGCAUGGCAGAAGGCACGAAGUGAUGGCUGGGAGAGGGUCUUCUGUGAAAAAAACUUUCUUUCUCACGCUACAAUGGAAAUCAUCGUAGGCAUGAGAACAGAGUUACUUGGUCAGCUUAGAGCUUCAGGUUUUGUCAGAGCCAGAGGAGGUGCUGAUAUUAGAGAUGUUAAUGCUAACUCUGAAAACUGGGCUGUGGUUAAAGCUGCCUUAGUGGCUGGGAUGUACCCCAAUCUUGUGCAUGUGGACAGGGAAAACCUGGUUUUGACAGGCCCAGAAGAGAAGAAAGUGCGAUUUCAUCCUACGUCUGUUCUUAGCCAGGCUCAGUAUAAAAAGAUUCCGCCAUCAAAUGGGCAAGCUGCAGCUGUUCAGGCACUCCCUACUGACUGGCUUAUAUAUGAUGAAAUGACAAGAGCUCGCAGGAUAGCAAAUAUCAGAUGUUGUUCAGUUGUAACACCUGUCACUGUGGCACUCUUCUCUGGACCAGCUAGGUUACCACAUAAUGCUUUGGAAGAGCCUUUGUCCUUUCGAGGAAAUAGGGUAGCUAAUGAUGACAGCGAUAGUGGGAUGGAGGACGAAAGAUCCAAUGUGGCACUACUGAAGCUGGAUGAAUGGCUCCAUUUCAAAUUGGACUCUGAAGUUGCUGGUUUGCUGAUGCAACUCAAACUCAAGUGGCAUAGCUUACUUCUGCGCCGAAUGAGAGCUCCUUCUAAACCUUGGUCUCAAGCUGAUGAAAUAACUAUAAGAACAAUUGUAUCUGUUUUAAGUACUGAAGAACAGUUUGCGGGAUUGCUGCAGCCUUCAGGAGUUGGUCAGAGGCCAAGGCCUGUUUCUUACAAUGAACUUCCUUCAGCACCUACCUGGAGGUCAGCCAGCACCUCAGCAGAAAAUGAAUUAUCUGAUGAUUCCUCUAAUGCUGAAAAAGUUCUGAGGAAGUCUGCACAUCCAGCAUUUCAUCAGCCAAGGAGAUACAAAGACAAAAAUAUUUUGUCUUCCAAACGAACAUCAGAUGAGAAGUCAGAUCAGUCAUCAGUGAAAUCUCCAGGCAGCAGUUCCUGUCCUAGCCCACGUGCUAGUCCUUCUGCAAUGUCUGGAAAGUUUUUGUUCCAGAGAUUUGCUAGGAUGUCUUUAGAGAUACAGGCUUGGGGAGGAAUGGCUGGAAAGCUGCCUGAUGGAAAGGGACCUUGGUGUACCGCUGGACAGUGAGCUGAAUGUGAGCCACCUGUGCCCUGGUGGCCAAGAAGGCCGAUGGCAUCCUGGCCUGUAUGAGAAAUGGUGUGGUGAGCAGGAGUAGGGAAGUCGUCCUGCCCCUGUGCUCAGCACUGGUGAGGCCCCACCUCGAGUACUGUGUUCAGUUUUGGCAUCUCAGCACAGAAAGGACAUGGAGGUGCUGGAGCAGGUCCAAAGAAGAGCAGCAAGGCUUGUGAAGGGCUUGGAGAAUAUGGCCUGUGAGGAGAGACUGGAGGAGCUGGGGCUGUUUACUCUGGGGAAAAGGAGGCUGAGAGGAGACCUUACUGCUCUCUUGCAAUAUCUGAAAGGUGACUGCAGCGAAAGUGGGGUUGGUGUCUUCUCACUGGUGACAGGAGACAGGCUGAGGGGAAAUGGCCUCAAGUUGUGCCAGUGGAGGUUUAAGUGGAUAUGAAGAAAAACUUGUUUACAGGAAGGGUUGUGAAGCACUGGAAUAGGCUCCAGGGAGGUGGUUGUGUCACCAUGCAGGAAUGUAUUCAAGAACCGUUUGGAUGUGGUGCUCAGGGACAUGAUUUAGCAGAAGGUUGUUAGAGUGAUAUGGUUGGACUUGAUGAUCUUGAAGGUCUUUUCCAACCUGAUCAAUUGAUUCUGUGAUUCUAUGGCCAAUAGUUCUUCAGACCGAAAGAGUCUUAAGGAUCUUUACACAACUGUUCUCUAUUUAUGGCCGUGGUUCUACAAAGAGGCAACCUAUCACUUGUUUGCACUUUACUGAAUUAAGCUUAGAAUAGAGAGAAUAAUAAUCUUUGUUUUUAGAAAGGCACAGGAUAUGUGGUUGAGAUGUUCUUGUGUGUAGUGGUGGUCUGUUCAGUGAGAAUUGUCUUCUUAAAAAAUGGUGUCUUACUGUGGAUGGAAAGAAAGCUUGAACCAACUGGGCUGAUGUUUUGUCUUCUUUCAGCCCCAUUUAAAACAGACAAAAUCUUGUGCAGGGGGGUUCCAAUGUAUGUCUCAACAGCAAAGAGAAUGAGUUCUUCCAGAGAAACUGAAAGUAAUCGCCUUUAUCUGUCGUGUUCCAGGUAGUUUAAUACAGAACAGACUUGUCUAAUUCUCUGCUUAUUUCUAGGAGCUGGACCCGCAAAUUGGAGAGCAGUUGCUCCAGCUCUGGGAUCAUCCUACUUCAGCAGGAAAAAGCUCAACUGACAACGUAAAGUAAUAAAAUAGCACCCUGGGUGUCCAAAAUUACUUAAAGCCAGAAAUGUGCCUCCAGUAAGAAGAUGAGGAAGAAGAUGGUGCAACAAGGCCUGAAAGUGUUAGUGAUGCUGUGCAGCUGGCACUUGAAGAGUAAAAGGAAAUAAAGUGGACUGUAAUAUUUUUCAUGUAUUAACAAAAAUCUUAACGUUGUUCACCCGCCUGAUUUCAAGUGAAUUAUUUUUUUCUCAAGUAAAAUAUUUAGUGUGUAGGUGAUUUUCAGAAAUAGGGUUAAAUUAAGAACAAAAUCUGCCAUUGUGCUUACUGAGUUUUAAAUGGCACAGCAAGUACAGUUUGACCUGUUGAAGUACACAGUUACGUUCAAAGCUUUUUCAGCAUGAGUGGUGAAGAAACCAGUGUAAUAAUUGGUCUUGUGGGUUGUUGAAAUUGAACAAAUUUCCUUUACUAAAAUGAAUGAAAGAUUUCCUUAAGAAUUAGUUGACGUUGCAUGUGAGAAAUCAAUAUGUAUUCACACAAACAAUUGAGCAGCUGGAGAAUAUAGAAGUUCUCUGAAAUAUGUAAAUCAAAGGGAGCGUGAGACUCCUCUGAGAGUUGUCUUGUUUGAUGUCUGCUCCCAGUUUGUAGUUUUACACCUUGUUAAAGAUGAGCGUAGUUUACUAAGUCUCAGUUGCGUGGUAAUGGGUGAAAGUCUGUAGGGCCCCACUGUGGGCAUUCUUAGGAGGGGAUUUGGGUUCAUUAAAGAAAUAACUGCCUGCACAGCUUUCUUUGAUUACCGAGUUUCUCUUUACAGGUUAAGUUCUUGCUUUGUAAGAUUAGUGUCAAUUCACUCUAUUUGCUGUCAGCACGAUGUUUGUGGUUGAUGUUAAAAUAAACACAGAGCGUUUUCUGCCUCUGA